GAACUGAAGAGUUUGAUCAUGGCUCAGAUUGAACGCUGGCGGCAGGCCUAACACAUGCAAGUCGAGCGGAUGAAGGGAGCUUGCUCCUGGAUUCAGCGGCGGACGGGUGAGUAAUGCCUAGGAAUCUGCCUGGUAGUGGGGGAUAACGUCCGGAAACGGGCGCUAAUACCGCAUACGUCCUGAGGGAGAAAGUGGGGGAUCUUCGGACCUCACGCUAUCAGAUGAGCCUAGGUCGGAUUAGCUAGUUGGUGGGGUAAAGGCCUACCAAGGUGACGAUCCGUAACUGGUCUGAGAGGAUGAUCAGUCACACUGGAACUGAGACACGGUCCAGACUCCUACGGGAGGCAGCAGUGGGGAAUAUUGGACAAUGGGCGAAAGCCUGAUCCAGCCAUGCCGCGUGUGUGAAGAAGGUCUUCGGAUUGUAAAGC
rnacentral:rRNA from 1 species